AUUGAACGCUGGCGGCAUGCCUUACACAUGCAAGUCGAACGGGCUUUGGGGCUUGCUCCAAAGUUAGUGGCGAACGGGUGAGUAAUAUAUCGGAACGUACCCUAGAGUGGGGGAUAACUAGUCGAAAGACUGGCUAAUACCGCAUACGAUCUAAGGAUGAAAGUGGGGGACCUUCGGGCCUCAUGCUCCUGGAGCGGCCGAUAUCUGAUUAGCUAGUUGGUGGGGUAAAGGCCUACCAAGGCGACGAUCAGUAGCUGGUCUGAGAGGACGAUCCGCCACAAUGGGACUGAGACACGGCCCAGACUCCUACGGGAGGCAGCAGUGGGGAAUUUUUGACAAUGGGCGAAAGCCUGAUUCAGCAAUGCCGCGUGAGUGAAGAGGGCCUUCGGGUUGUAAAGCUCUUUUGUCAGGGAAGAAACGGCUGUGGCUAAUAUCCAUGGUUAAUGACGGUACCUGAAGAAUAAGCACCGGCUAACUACGUGCCAGCCGCCGCCGUAAUAC
rnacentral:rRNA from 1 species